AGCAUGUGGUUUAAAUUCGAAGCAACGCGAAGAACCUUACCAGGUCUUGACAUCCUCUGACAAUCCUAGAGAUAGGACGUCCCCUUCGGGGGCAGAGUGACAGGUGGUGCAUGGUUGUCGUCAGCUCGUGUCGUGAGAUGUUGGGUUAAGUCCCGCAACGAGCGCAACCCUUGAUCUUAGUUGCCAGCAUUCAGUUGGGCACUCUAAGGUGACUGCCGGUGACAAACCGGAGGAAGGUGGGGAUGACGUCAAAUCAUCAUGCCCCUUAUGACCUGGGCUACACACGUGCUACAAUGGACAGAACAAAGGGCAGCGAAACCGCGAGGUUAAGCCAAUCCCACAAAUCUGUUCUCAGUUCGGAUCGCAGUCUGCAACUCGACUGCGUGAAGCUGGAAUCGCUAGUAAUCGCGGAUCAGCAUGCCGCGGUGAAUACGUUCCCGGGCCUUGUACACACCGCCCGUCACACCACGAGAGUUUGUAACACCCGAAGUCGGUGAGGUAACCUUUAUGGAGCCAGCCGCCG
rnacentral:rRNA from 1 species